UUUGGUGCAUCAGAGAGGUUAAAAUAGCUGAAUUUGGCUCUAUAGAUUAUGAGCCACCGCUUGCAUUCUUUAUAAGAAAAUCUUUUCUGGUCACUACCAAGAAGAGUGCAGGUGGGGGAAAGAAUCUUAACAACCCAUCAAAAGGUAAAAAAAAAAAUUCAGUAAACAAAAUCAUUUAUAGGGGAGAACGGACAUAUAAUUUUACUCGCUAGGGUAUUCGAUGCAAUCGAUAAUUCUAUGGUCGAAGUAACAGCCAGGUUGGAGACAGGACAACAUGGAACAACCUGAUAACGAAACAAAGCAUGAAAGUCAGCUUGUGUUAGGUGACGUUGAUGGUUUGCGGGAGCCCAACGCAACUUAUCUUUCUGAUUUGAAUCUCCUGAUGGUGGCUCUUUCACUGAGCUCUAUACGCAACGAAGAUUGCUUAAAUUUGGUUGACACAGAGAAGACAAGUAUUGAAGAUCGGGAAGCUAAUAAGGGCAAGGCCUACAUACCCAGGUUACAUUCCAGAAAACGGGAAACCAACGACGUAAAGCUCAUGAGACGACAAACACAAAGGAUCCAAACAUCACCCAAGGAUUUUAGGCACUGCAGAAAAAUGUAGACAGGAAUGUUAUAAAUAGGAAGAGAACAGAACAAGAAAAAGAUACGAUGAAGGAGAGAGCAUGUAAAAUAUUCUUUUGAUACAGGUUUUUUAUUAUUUUAUUUUUGGUACUGUAGCAUGUGAAAUAUCCUCUAGGAGCUUUUUCGUUGGCAUUGUCGCUGUCGUCGAACAGAAUCCAUUAAACCCACUGUUAAGGGACAAAAUAGAAACGGCAGACAUCAGAGACGUUAUUCCAGAUGGAAUUUGGUGACUGUUUUCUUUCACUUUC